GGGCCUCUUUCCCCUCCUCCCUCCCACCUCCAGCAGCCAGGUCUCCAACUGCCGGCCAGGCUUGGGCCUGAGUGACUUUGUCGCCUGCAGCUGCCAAUCCCAAAAAUAUUCUCUGAUGACACAGCUGGAGGUCAAGAGCCCAGACUGGCUCCUCCAGGCUAAGUAUAGAUAGAGCAGGCAGGACCACCUGCCCUCCACCCAGAGCCUCAACCCCAGGUCUUCCCUCCCACGUUGGCCUAGCAGCUGCUACGGUUGAAAAGAGCCCCAGAAAGUCUGAGGGGUUUGGGGCAUUCUGUCCUCCUGACAAAUGAUUUGAUGACUGGCCAACCCUAAGCACCCUGUGUGUGUGUGUGUGUGUGUGUGUGUGUGUGUGUGUGUGUGUGUGUGUGUGUGUGGUGGGUUGUAUGCUUGCCUGAAUGGGUCAGGUCACUUGGGGUGAAUACCCAUCACAGCCCCUUCCCCCACAUUCUUGGCGGGAGUGGGAGAUAAGGCUCAGGGCCACAGACAUCUGCGUCAGAGAUAGGAGGUCUCAAUGCCAUGGGCAGGGGCAACUGGGACUGGAGGGCGUGGGAAGGACUGGGGGAGACUGGGGAAGAAGGGUAGAAGAAGGCAAGCAGUGGGAUGGGGAGGGAAGAGUGGGGAGGUCCUAGACAGAAAGGGCACAGGGCAGAGUGUGGGCUCCCUGUCGUCAGGGCAAGAGAACUAUGGUGAUCCAGCCGUCUCUGCUGCUCCUUUUGCUGUUGACUCUACAGGAUGUGGACAGCUGCCAGGGGCCAGAACUUGUCCGGGAGCUUGUCCUGGCCAAAGUGAAGGCACUAUUCCUAGAUGCCUUGGGGCCCCCAGCAAUGGAUGGGGAAGGUGGGGGUCCUGGAAUAAGGCGGCUGCCUCGAAGACAUGCCCUUGGGGGCUUCAUGCACAGGACCUCUGAACCAGAGGAGGAGGAUGUCUCCCAGGCCAUCCUUUUCCCAGCCACAGGUAAUGAAGUUGGGGACUGGCAGGUCAACUUUGAAAAGUAGCCGGUACCUAUUUCAUGGGCUUGGGGGUCAGGCAGCUCUGGGCAAAAAUGGCAGCCCUACUGCUCAGCUGGCUUUGCAGCAAGGGGUCAGUUCCUAAGGCACUCUGAUCGUCAUCAAAUAAGUGGUGACCUCUCUUUCUCAAGCUGGACUGAUCCAGUGAGCCUAGCAUGCCUGGAAUAGGAAAGCUAAGGCUCUGUAGAGACAGAGCUCAGGUUGCUGUCUGUCCUGUGUGUCCCCUGCCUCACACACACCCUGUUUCAUUAGCUGUAGGCAGUUGGGACUUGAGAGGAUUUCAGGGAUGCAGCAGAAUGCUUAGUUGGGAAACCUGCCUAUGUUCCCAGGAGUCUCAUU
rnacentral:lncRNA from 1 species